rnacentral:rRNA from 1 species
GGGGGAUAUUGCGCAAUGGGGGCAACCCUGACGCAGCAACGCCGCGUGAAGGAAGAAGGUUUUCGGAUUGUAAACUCCUGUCGUUAGGGACGAUAAUGACGGUACCUAACAAGAAAGCACCGGCUAACUACGUGCCAGCAGCCGCGGUAAAACGUAGGGUGCAAGCGUUGUCCGGAAUUACUGGGUGUAAAGGGAGCGCAGGCGGACCGGCAAGUUGGAAGUGAAAACUAUGGGCUCAACCCAUAAAUUGCUUUCAAAACUGCUGGCCUUGAGUAGUGCAGAGGUAGGUGGAAUUCCCGGUGUAGCGGUGGAAUGCGUAGAUAUCGGGAGGAACACCAGUGGCGAAGGCGACCUACUGGGCACCAACUGACGCUGAGGCUCGAAAGCAUGGGUAGCAAACAGGAUUAGAUACCCUGGUAGUCCAUGCCGUAAACGAUGAUUACUAGGUGUUGGAGGAUUGACCCCUUCAGUGCCGCAGUUAACACAAUAAGUAAUCCACCUGGGGAGUACGACCGCAAGGUUGAAACUCAAAGGAAUUGACGGGGGCCCGCACAAGCAGUGGAGUAUGUGGUUUAAUUCGAAGCAACGCGAAGAACCUUACCAGGUCUUGACAUCCGAUGCAUAGCUUAGAGAUAAGUGAAGUCCUUCGGGACAUCGAGACAGGUGGUGCAUGGUUGUCGUCAGCUCGUGUCGUGAGAUGUUGGGUUAAGUCCCGCAACGAGCGCAACCCUUAUUGCCAGUUACUACGAAAGAGGACUCUGGCGAGACUGCCGUUGACAAAACGGAGGAAGGUGGGGAUGACGUCAAAUCAUCAUGCCCUUUAUGACCUGGGCUACACACGUACUACAAUGGCGUUUAACAAAGAGAAGCAAGACCGCGAGGUGGAGCAAAACUCAAAAACAACGUCUCAGUUCAGAUUGCAGGCUGCAACUCGCCUGCAUGAAGUCGGAAUUGCUAGUAAUCGCGGAUCAGCAUGCCGCGGUGAAUACGUUCCCG